rnacentral:rRNA from 1 species
AACGAACGCUGGCGGCAGGCUUAACACAUGCAAGUCGAACGGAUCCUUCGGGAUUAUUUGCAGACGGGUGAGUAACGCGUGGGAACGUACCCUUUUCUACGGAAUAACUCAGGGAAACUUGUGCUAAUACCGUAUGUGCCCUACGGGGGAAAGAUUUAUCGGCAAAGGAUCGGCCCGCGUUGGAUUAGCUAGUUGGUGGGGUAAUGGCCUACCAAGGCGACGAUCCAUAGCUGGUCUGAGAGGAUGAUCAGCCACACUGGGACUGAGACACGGCCCAGACUAGUACGGGAGGAAGAAGUGGGGAAUAUAGGAAAAUGGGAGAAAGCAUGAAGAAGCAAGGCCGGGAGAGAGAUGAAGGUGUUAGGAAAGAAAAGCAAUUUAAAAGGAGAAGAUAAUGACGGUAGCGGGAGAAGAAGCCCCGGCUAACUUCGUG